rnacentral:sRNA from 1 species
CUUUGCUCAUCCUCUUCUCAUCCUGCAUUGACUCUCAAAAGAUAUUGUUGAACUCCCUAAUAGAAAUGUUAUAUUCUUCUAUAUUUAAAGUGAGGAAUCUCCUUGCCUACCUUGUUAGAUCAGAUGACCUUUUAUGGUGACUCUUGUUAGCUCUUGAGUUGUGCAGUAGUGUUCUUGUCGAUCUUGUUAGAGACUUAUGAUAGGUACUUUCUAUUGUACCUCCAAUCUUCUUUUUAGAGACGUACUCAAGUAGAGCCUCAAAUGCCACAUCUCUUCCAUUUUUAGUCAUUGCAAAGGUUUGUUUUCCUUAUCUAAGCUUGUGUCUCAAAGGCCACAUAUCUGAAGCACUUAGACAAAUAUAGAUGAUAGUUAGGUUGAGUCUUUUGUGACUUAGAAAAUUUUAGAAGUAGUUUAGUAUCGUAGAAUAUUUGUUUCUAGUUGCAGCGUUAUUAUUAGAUCUCAUGUGUGUAAUAGUAGUAGUGUGUACGCUUAGUAAAUGACUGAAUGUAGCUCUAAUAUAACUUAUUGAUUUUAGAAGAUGAUAGAAAUGAUAGUUGAACAUGGGAUAAGAUUGAUCAAAUACAAAAUAAUAUAUUAGAUAGAACAAUAGUUGGAAGAAUAAUUUUGGUGGGUUGAAACGUAUAACAUAGACGCGUGUUUUUGCUCUAACACUGUGUUGAAACGAGAUUUGAGUAUCAUGAGUUUUAUUUUCAACAAACAAAAUUUAUUUACAAGGAUAUGUCCUUUACUAUGUUAAGUCUCAAAUCUCUUUCUAGAUUCAAUUAUCGUAUAGUAUAGGGUUAUGUUGAUCCCAUAAGGAAUUACAAUAGAAAUAUUAUACAUACUUUAGUUUUAAAAAACAACAAGAGGAAACAUAUAGUUGGUUGUUUUGUUGUUUACAUGUGGGGACUCGUCCAUGAGUAAUGAUCAUGGAGUUCAACAGUGAAAUGGAAAGUUCCUCUAUAUUCGCUCCACAUACUUUAGAAAGGUUGGCCUCUGAUUUGUCACUCAAUGACUAGUAUAUGGUUGUCCUCGCCCAUCUAAAAGUAGCCCCAUCACAACUACAUCCCAACUCCUGGGCUUCUUCUGAGCAUUUGAGUUGUUUUGUAAGAUUCAAGGUGUACCAUGUUCGGUGAAGACUUUCUUCUGGAUAUUUUGGGGUUGGACCUGUAUUCAAUCAAAGAAUGGUUGGGUCCUCUUCAGCUCGCUUGAGUCGUCCUUCAAGCAUUGGAAUAUGGGAUAGUUUCGGGUAGAGCUCUGAUGGGAGGGUAGCACCUGGAAUUUAUCCCGUUGGGAAACCUGAGGCUCCCCUUUUAUUGGAAAAGGGGCACCACCAUGUGAAUCAAAACAUGUAUAGCAUCAAGGAUGGGGUUCUUCAAGGUGAAUGAAGGCAGUUCAUUGAGAAGGUAAGGAUCUCGGUGGAAAGUGGUGUCAUCCUCCCUUGCUUUACUUUGGCCGGUGGUGGCGGUGCCUUUCGCCAAGUCAUAUGUAGGUCUAGAGUCAUGUCUUUUAUGUCACAAAAGAUGCAAUAGAAAAGUGAGAGAGAAGAGACGAUAACUCAUUCUGCAUGUUGCUGCUUAGUUGUUCUCGUUUUCAAGCUUGUUACUUUAUUGUAUGCCUUGUUUGGAGCUUGAUUGACUAA